rfam:Stegodyphus mimosarum contig55500, whole genome shotgun sequence.
GCCUUCGUGGGCGUAAAGGUCAGCACACUCGACGCGUAACCGAGAAGUCCGUGGUUCGAUUCCCGGCAAAGGCG